rnacentral:tRNA from 1 species
GGGUCAGUAGCUUAAAUGGUGAAGCAUUUGACUGUUAAUCAAAAGAGUAUAGGUUUAAGUCCUAUCUGACCCG